rnacentral:rRNA from 1 species
UCCACGCCCUGAACGAUGAAUGCUAGUCGUCGUGGAGCUCGUCUCUGCGGUGAUGCAGUUAACACAUUAAGCAUUCCGCCUGGGGAGUACGGUCGCAAGAUUAAAACUCAAAGGAAUAGACGGGGACCCGCACAAGUGGUGGAGCAUGUGGUUUAAUUCGAAGAUACGCGAAGAACCUUACCUAGCCUUGACAUUGAGAGAAUCCACCAGAGAUGGAGGAGUGCCUGCUUG